UGUUAAUGAAGUGGAUACAAAAUUGCCUGGCAAAGGGUUGGCUCUGGUUCACCUGUUCCCUCUACUCUCCAGCCAGGUAGGGGAAACUAGUGAGUAAGUCAGUGGUUUGAAUGAGCUUGUGUUUCUGUGAAGUGGAACUCAACUUGAUUAUACCUAACAAGUUCAACUCCCCUGAUCCCGCUUAGGAGGAUUUUAACUGUCUCUGUGGCAUUUAGGAUCUACCAGAAAUCUAGAUGAGAGUGAUUUUUUUUUUGGCUUGGCAUUCUCUGCUUCUUUUAAUAGGGCUGGACCAAAAGGAUAAGCAAUGUAGGCACGUCAUAUCCAGCACAGAGUUCAGAUCAAGUGGGACCAGGAAAGGCUAAUGGAGAAGUUUAUCUCAGAUAAUGUCAGAAAGGGAGAAGUUCCUAAUGGCUUCAUGGGGUUUAGUUUUAUGUACUUGGACUCAGGGCCAUAUGCUCUCAAUGUUUUGUUCAUGGCAGGCAUUCUAUUGUCUUAGCUAUGCCUCUACUUAAAGGGUGGUAGGAAUCUCAUGGACAUUUAUGCCAGGCCUUUGAGCUAUGUUCUUUACUUCUUAGC